rnacentral:rRNA from 1 species
AGGAAGGACCGGCUAACUCUGUGUCAGCAGCCGCGGUAAUACAGAGGGUCCAAGCGUUGAUCGGAAUCACUGGGCUUAAAGGGUUCGUAGGCGGAUCUGUAAGUAUGUUGUGAAAUCCCACAGCUCAACUGUGGAAUUGCUUCGUAGACUACAGAUCUUGAGCACGACAGGGGCCAUCAGAACGAUAGGUGGAGCGGUGAAAUGCGUAGGUAUCUAUCGGAAUGCCAAAGGUGAAGACAGAUGGCUGAUUCGUCGCUGACGCUCAGGAACGAAAGCAUGGGUAGCGAACGGGAUUAGAUACCCCGGUAGUCCAUGCCCUAAACGAUGUGUACUAGUUCGAGGAGGUUUUGACGCCAUCUCGGACGAAGCUAAAGUAUUAAGUACACCGCCUGGGGCGUACGGUCGCAAGGCUAAAACUCA